CGUGUAGGCGGUUUGUUAAGUCAUGUGUGAAAUCCCCCGGCUUAACCGAGGAACGACGCAUGAAACUGGCAAGCUAGAGUACCGAAGAGGGGGGUGGAAUUCCCGGUGUAGCGGUGAAAUGCGUAGAUACCGGGAGGAACACCUGUGGCGAAAGCGGCGCACUGGACCACAACUGACGCUGAGGCGCGAAAGCUAGGGGAGCAAACA
rnacentral:rRNA from 1 species